rnacentral:lncRNA from 1 species
GCUUGUUGCAGACGUAUAUAUGACAGUAAUUUUGAUAUUCUCUAUGUAUUUUGUACAGACUUUGAGAAGUAUGUUCUAUGUGGUAUGAUGUAUGUUCUGCAUGUGUAUAGACUAGACAGAAUUGAUGACUGGACAGGAAUAAAACCAAAAUAUGUGAAAUAGCAGCCAUGCCAUGCCACCAGAGAGUUUUACAGAUAGAUAGAUGCUUGUCUUUGAAGCACAUGAUGGAUGCCAAUACAGGUGUUUCCAGGCAGAGAGAGUUAAUAAUGACAGUAAAUGUGUUUAUAAUGUACUGUGAGACAAAAUUCUGAGGAAGUUCUUUUGGAGAUCUGUGAAAACCAGGGAUUGUCCUUCAAACUG